GCCUGGGUGGCUCAGUCGGUUAAGCGUCCGACUUUGACUCAGGUCAUGAUCUCACUGCUUGUGGGUUCGAGCCCCGUGUCAGGCU
rnacentral:tRNA from 1 species